rnacentral:rRNA from 1 species
GUGAGGAAUAUUGCGCAAUGGAGGCAACUCUGACGCAGCCAUGCCGCGUGCAGGAAGAAGGCGCUACGCGUUGUAAACUGCUUUUAACCGGGAAGAAACCCCAGGACGUGUCCUGGGUUGACGGUACCGGAGGAAUAAGCACCGGCUAACUUCGUGCCAGCAGCCGCGGUAAUACGAAGGGUGCAAGCGUUAUCCGGAUUCAUUGGGUUUAAAGGGUGCGUAGGCGGAGCGUUAAGUCAGUGGUGAAAUCCUGCAGCUUAACUGUAGACUUGCCAUUGAUACUGGCGCUCUUGAGUGCGCUUGAAGUGGGCGGAAUGUGCCGUGUAGCGGUGAAAUGCUUAGAUAUGACACAGAACACCAAUUGCGAAGGCAGCUCACUAAGGCGAUACUGACGCUGAGGCACGAAAGCGUGGGGAUCGAACAGGAUUAGAUACCCGAGUAGUCC